rnacentral:lncRNA from 1 species
CUGAGGAACAGGAAGGGGAGAUGUGAGGGAAAUAAGUGUCUGUUGCAUAAACCUUGCUAGAGCUUUUAUCCUGUUACAGGGUUGUAGGCAGCUUGCAGCUUCUCUAACAAAAUAAUCUGGCCUGCUGGGAAGUAUUCGUGAAGGACAAGAAGGGAGACGGGGAAAGGUUAAGAAGGAGCCAGUAUCUCCAGGAGGAGUCAGAGAGCGCUCUGCCAGUGUGAAGUGUAAAUUCUUGAGAGGCUGUGGCAAGGGUCCAUGCCUGAAUGUAUAGAGCAAGAACAGCUGGAGACUGUGGCUUUCUCCAGGAAGAGGUUUCUAAAUUUGCCUCUUAGAAGAUACCAGAAAGUUCCAGUUUAAUUUCACUGGAUUGUAACUGAAGAGUUUGGGGAAAGUUCCUGGCCUUCUAUGCUGUACAGAGGAAUAGCCUGAAAGACAGCCUUUCUGAGCAUCACCACAUGUAAACGGAUCUGGAAGCUUUGAACUGUGAGUCUGUUGGGCUCCCUUCCAAACUCACGAUGGUUUGUUUUAUGUAAAAACAUGAUACAAGUUACUUGGCAACUUGUAUCAAGGGUCUAAUCCUUUAUUAUGCCACCAUAACUGGGUUAAAGAGUAUAUGUGGUAAGCAAAAAUACUUACCUGUGAUAGAAGAUAAGCAUAGGAUUAAGUACAUUUUGUGAUUUCUGAAUUAAAUAUGCUAGAAAAAGCUUUUAUUUAAAUCCAAAAUUCUGUUUUGCUCUUGGGGAUUUUAGACAAGAAAAUUAUAUGUUUCCAGAAUCAUACAUGUUGGCAGAUUUCUAAGCAUCCAAGGCUGUGUGGUUUUUUUUUUUUUUAAGAAAAAUUCAUCUAUUUAUUAAGAACAGUAUUUAUCAAGGGCCUAAUUUGUGCCAAUAUUCUUCUAGAUAUGGGGAUGGAGCGGUGAAUAAGAUAUACACAGUCCCUGUUCUCAUGAAGCUUUUAAUCUAGAAGGAGGAGAAAAAAAGGAACA